GCCGGAGUAGCUCAGCCGGUUAGAGCGAGCGUCUCAUAAGCGCUAGGUCGGCGGUUCGAGUCCGCCCUCCGGCACCA
rnacentral:tRNA from 2 species